UGGGGACUCUCACUCGGUCUGAGCGAAAUUCCUCCUCCGAGCUGACGGACGUCUCCAGACCUGUCUCCUCUUGCUUCCUGAGCUCAGAGGAAACCCAAACCCCCCACUGUCAGAUUGGACCCGAUAAAGAUCAGAGCCCGCUGGCGAGUUGGCGAGAGAGAGGGAGCCCAGCCUGAAUCAUUGCUGUCUGCAGAACUGGGGCCUGAUCCAACUCCACCCCCUGGGGUGAUCUGGGGGUGUCAUCGUCACAAGCCCCUUCGCAAGUGGUUUUGUUUUGUAGAUGAGUCUACGAAGGUGACACAGAAGAUCACUUUCACAUCUGCCAAUGCACGUGGAGAGGAAAUCUCUUAGGAUAUUCUGGCAGAACUGCAAACCACUGAAACCUGGAAGCACAAAACCUGCAGCAUACCUUUCACUAAAGCAUGAAAAGCUUAAGUUAACUUCUUAGCUCACAGCUUUAAAUGUGUUAAAUCUUUGCCACGUGGAUCCAUUGUGGAUUUAUACUGAGACUGUUAGCAUUCCUGAUUAUGAAGUCAUAAAUCCUCUGGAUAUACCUGACAAAUAUAUUAAUUAUAUAUAUUUUUUACUACUAAUCUUAGCCAGUUAAUGUUGUGUCACAUUGCCAGUCUAGGAAAAAACAGUAAAGUACACAGACUCUAAGAAUCUUCUAGGUGCCCUGUUACUAUUAAUUAACAACAUGAAUUUCAUCAAAUGUUUUAACUUUGCUGUGUAUCAUUUGCAAUUUCAAAUAAAAACAAAACAAAUGUUCAAA